rnacentral:rRNA from 1 species
AAUGGGUCAGCGACUUAUAUUCUGUAGCAAGGUUAACCGAAUAGGGGAGCCGAAGGGAAACCGAGUCUUAACUGGGCGUUAAGUUGCAGGGUAUAGACCCGAAACCCGGUGAUCUAGCCAUGGGCAGGUUGAAGGUUGGGUAACACUAACUGGAGGACCGAACCGACUAAUGUUGAAAAAUUAGCGGAUGACUUGUGGCUGGGGGUGAAAGGCCAAUCAAACCGGGAGAUAGCUGGUUCUCCCCGAAAGCUAUUUAGGUAGCGCCUCGUGAAUUCAUCUCCGGGGGUAGAGCACUGUUUCGGCAAGGGGGUCAUCCCGACUUACCAACCCGAUGCAAACUGCGAAUACCGGAGAAUGUUAUCACGG